rnacentral:rRNA from 1 species
GCGAAGGCUCCACACUAGAACGGAUCCCGACGGUCAGGGACGAAGCCUAGGGGCACGAACCCGGAUUAGAUACCCCGGGUAGUCCUAGGUGUAAGGCGCUGUGGACUUGAUGUUGGGGACGCUCCGAGCGUUCUCAGUGUCGAAGCGAAGGUGAUAAGUCCACUGCCUGGGGAGUACGGUCGCAAGGCUGAAACUUAGAGGAAUUGGCGGGGGAGCACCGCAACCUGAGGAUUGUGCGGUUUAAUUGGAUUCAACGCCGGAAAACUCACCAUGAGCCGACGGACAUAUGAAAGCCAGUGUAACGAGCUUGCUGGAUUGUUCGAGAGGUAUUGCAUGGCCGCCGUCAGUUCGUACCGCAAGGCGUUCUGUUAAGUCAGAUAACGAACGAGACCCUCAUCCCUAUUUGCCAAGGUCUGUCCGCAGAUCACGGGACUAUAGGGAGACCGCUGGCGCGAAGUCAGAGGAAGGCGAGGGCAACGGUAGGUCAGUAUGAUCCGAAUGUCAUGGGCUACACGCGCAAUACAAAGGACGGGACAAUGGGCUGCAACUCCGAGAGGAAAGGCGCUAUCCCGAAACCCGUUCGUAGUUCGGAUUGAGGGCUGUAACUCGCCCUCAUGAAGCUGGAUUAGGUAGUAAUCGCGUCUCAAUAGGGCGCGGUGAAUAUGCCCCUGCUCCUUGUACACACCGCCCGU